rnacentral:rRNA from 1 species
UAAGGUGAUUAUUGCAACGGGGCUCACCUCUUACCAUUCCGAACAGAGUAGUUAAGCCCGUUAGCGCCGAUGGUACUGCGUUUGUGGGAGAGUAGGUCAUCGCCUUUU